GGGGUUGUGGCUCAGCAGUAGAGCACUCGCCUAGCAUGUGUGAGGCCCUGGGUUUGACCCUCAGCACCA
rnacentral:tRNA from 1 species